UGGGGAAUUUUGGACAAUGGGGGAAACCCUGACCCAGCCAUCCCGCGUGUGCGAUGAAGGCCUUCGGGUUGUAAAGCACUAUUGGCAGGAAAGAAACGUCAUGGGUUAAUACCCCGUGAAACUGACGGUACCUGCAGAAUAAGCACCGGCUAACUACGUGCCAGCAGCCGCGGUAAUACGUAGGGUGCAAGCGUUAAUCGGAAUUACUGGGCGUAAAGCGUGCGCAGGCGGUUAGGAAAGAAAGAUGUGAAAUCCAAGAGCUCAACUUUGGAACUGCAUUUAUAACUACCUGGCUAGAGUGUGUCAGAGGGAGGUGGAAUUCCAGGUGUAGCAGUGAAAUGCGUAGAUAUGCGGAGGAACACCGGUAGCGAAGGCAGCCACCUGGCAUAUCACUGACGCUCAUGCACGAAAGCGUGGGGAGCAAACAGG
rnacentral:rRNA from 1 species